GUUUUAAUAGUUUAAACAAAACAAUGAUUUUGUAAAUCAUAAAUGGUAUAUUUAUACCUUAAAACU
rnacentral:tRNA from 1 species